UUUGAAGGCAGGUUCGAUUUGGUUAGGUUUGUGAAGACAGUGCAAGAAGCUGGCCUUCUAGUCCAUUUCAGGAUUGGCCCGUAUGCUUGUGCUGAAUGGAACUAUGGGGGAUUUCCCAUUUGGUUUCACUUUAUUCCCAGAAUUCAGUUUCGCACAACAAAUGCACCUUUUAAGGACAGGUCGAGGCGAAUAAGCUUGGUUAGUUUCUUCAUGCCAUCAGGUAAUUCUGUUAUGGGAGUAUGAGAAAGGUCCAGAACAAGUAGUUCCUCGGAGUUUGCUAAAGAAGGCAGAGAUGUUAAGUUGCAACAACCGCGCAAGACGAGUGCCCUUAGUUUUGUCAAGUAAGAAGAGGCUGACUUUGGAAGGGUAGAGAUAUUGGUAUGAGAAAGGUUAAGAACUUUGAGGUUAGGCAUAUUACGGAAGAAAUCGUCAUCAAAGUGAGAGAUGGGGUUGUGCUGCAGAAGUAACGUGGAUAGCUUGUAAAACUUGGGUUUUUUUGUAAGUGCUUUAAGCUGACUUUUCAUCAAUGAGGCUCUCUCUACUUUAGACAAGUUCCUCCCUAUCAGCGGGCAGUCGGUAAGCUUCACCCCGGCUUCGAUGAGAAACUGAUCAUAAUCGGGGAUUGUUUUGGUCAGAUGGAUUGCCAUAUGCCUAACUAAGUUGCGCAUCUUGAUGCAUUCUUUUCCACCUUCACUAACUGCUUCCAGAAGGUGGGUAUAAUGCACAGUACAGGAAGCACUGCUGAGCUUCUUUCUUCAACAUGGAGUAGCUAUAUAACAGGCGGGCAAAUGCCUUCCUAUUCUUUUUUUCC